AGACUAGGUGGAGUAAAUCUGAGCUGGUGGGGUGAGCAGCGCAAGGCUGAGGAAAGAUGCAUGAAAACAGACCACAGAUGGGAGAGAUAAACAGGAUCCCUGGGCUGUGACUGAGGAGGCAGGUCUCUUUAAUGGCUCUUAGCAACGCCCCUGCUCUGACCCUUCUCAUAUGUGAGGAAAAUCAAAUCAAUACACUGUUCUUCACGAUGCUGCAGCAGCAGCAGGGCAUUGUGGCAGCCUUCGUCUCUUAAAUUCAUCUUCGCUUUUCAGUGUGCUGAUCUCUGGAUAUCCAUCCUUGCAUCUCUGCUAAGGAAGACUGACUGCAUCUUUAAUCGGAUUGCUGAGCUCCCAUGCACAACCUUCUUCUUAUUAGAAAGUAUUAGAGAUGGCUAACAGAGGACCAAGCUAUGGCUUAAGCCGAGAAGUUCAGGAAAAGAUUGAACAGAAAUACGACGCAGAAUUAGAGUCUAAGCUGGUGAACUGGAUUAUUGUGCAGUGUGGAGAACAGAUAGAGCACCCUCCUCCUGGAAGGCAACAUUUUCAGACCUGGUUGAUGGAUGGAACACUGUUAUGCAAGUUAAUAAACAGUUUGCAUCCAAAGGGAAACGAGCCUAUUGCAAAGAUCUCUGAAUCAAAAAUGGCUUUCAAGCAGAUGGAACAAAUAUCUCAGUUCUUAAAAGCUGCUGAAAUCUAUGGAGUAAGAACAACAGAUAUUUUCCAGACAGUGGAUUUAUGGGAAGGGAAGGACAUGGCAGCAGUGCAGAGAACCUUAAUGGCUUUGGGCAGUUUGGCGGUCACCAAGGAUGACGGCUGCUACAAGGGAGAUCCGUCCUGGUUCCACAGGAAAGCACAGCAAAAUCGACGAGGAUUUUCAGAAGAGCAGCUUCGGCAGGGACAGAACGUAAUAGGCCUUCAGAUGGGCAGCAACAAAGGAGCAUCACAGUCGGGCAUGACAGGCUAUGGGAUGCCAAGGCAGAUUAUCUAAAGGCAUCUCUGUCUGUGGAGAAAACACUCCUUCUGCAGCAUGGUCUGUUAAGGAAAAAAAAAAAGAAAAAGAAAAAAAAUGCUUAUUAGUUCUUUUUCUGCCUGGUUUUUAAUAGUUAGUGCUCUCUAAGGUUUGGGGUAUUUUUGGUUUGGUUUGUUUUCUUUGCAGCUGCAAGAGUUUGCCUAGGAACUUGGGUUUUUGUGGUGGUGUGUGUCAGUUCACAGCACGUGCGCACUGCUGCCUCCUACUUUUCACUUCUGAACUAUGCAAAGACAAUUAUUCUGUAUUAAUUUAUUUGCAAAUUUCCAUAUUUGUCUCACACUGCACUUGUAUUUCAACCAGUAACCUCGUUCUUCAAUCAGUGAUGAUAUUGUUUGACUGAAGAAUAAAGACGAAAUAAAGAUA